UAGCUUAGUCGGUAGAGCAUGAGACUCUUAAUCUCAGGGCGUGGGUCGAUGCCAC
rfam:Glossina palpalis gambiensis isolate 146720 unplaced genomic scaffold Scaffold1019, whole genome shotgun sequence.